GGGCGAGUGGCGAAACUGGUAGACGCACCGCACUCAAAAUGCGGCGGGAAACCGUGUCGGUUCGAAUCCGACCUUGCCCA
rfam:Synechococcus sp. JA-2-3B'a(2-13), complete genome.